UUAACUAUUAUAUAGUACUCAGACGACACUAACAUUUCAGAGUUUGGGGUCCUCUGGCGGGCACUUACCAGCGGGAGCCGGUAGCCGGGCAGGUGCCGGGCGGCCCGCCAAAGCAACAAAGUAAUGAUAACAUAGGGUGGGAGGUCUACCCUGGAGGGCAUGAACUCGGUAAUGAUCCCUCCGCAGGUUCACCUACGGAGA
rnacentral:misc_RNA from 1 species